rnacentral:pre_miRNA from 1 species
CGGGGGAGGCCGGAUUCUGGGCUGUGUCCCGGCGCCCUGUGCUCCGGGGCCUGCGCUGGUGGAUUCGCGCUCCCGCCCCGCAGCCCCCU